rnacentral:rRNA from 2 species
UGAGGAAUAUUGGUCAAUGGACGAGAGUCUGAACCAGCCAAGUAGCGUGAAGGAUGACUGCCCUAUGGGUUGUAAACUUCUUUUAUAUGGGAAUAAAGUAUUCCACGUGUGGGAUUUUGUAUGUACCAUAUGAAUAAGGAUCGGCUAACUCCGUGCCAGCAGCCGCGGUAAUACGGAGGAUCCGAGCGUUAUCCGGAUUUAUUGGGUUUAAAGGGAGCGUAGGUGGAUUGUUAAGUCAGUUGUGAAAGUUUGCGGCUCAACCGUAAAAUUGCAGUUGAAACUGGCAGUCUUGAGUACAGUAGAGGUGGGCGGAAUUCGUGGUGUAGCGGUGAAAUGCUUAGAUAUCACGAAGAACUCCGAUUGCGAAGGCAGCUCACUAGACUGCAACUGACACUGAUGCUCGAAAGUGUGGGUAUCAAACA